rnacentral:snoRNA from 2 species
UCUCAGUGAUGAUGAAUAAUUGAUGACGAGUCCGAUCCAUUCAUAAUCAUGACGACAUAUCGAGGCAUUUGUCUGAGAGGU